CUAAAUACUCCUGACUGACCGAUAGUGAACCAGUACCGUGAGGGAAAGGCGAAAAGAACCCCGGCGAGGGGAGUGAAAAAGAACCUGAAACCGUGUACGUACAAGCAGUGGGAGCCUCUUUAUGGGGUGACUGCGUACCUUUUGUAUAAUGGGUCAGCGACUUAUAUUCUGUAGCAAGGUUAACCGAAUAGGGGAGCCGAAGGGAAACCGAGUCUUAACUGGGCGUUAAGUUGCAGGGUAUAGACCCGAAACCCGGUGAUCUAGCCAUGGGCAGGUUGAAGGUUGGGUAACACUAACUGGAGGACCGAACCGACUAAUGUUGAAAAAUUAGCGGAUGACUUGUGGCUGGGGGUGAAAGGCCAAUCAAACCGGGAGAUAGCUGGUUCUCCCCGAAAGCUAUUUAGGUAGCGCCUCGUGAAUUCAUCUCCGGGGGUAGAGCACUGUUUCGGCAAGGGGGUCAUCCCGACUUACCAACCCGAUGCAAACUGCGAAUACCGGAGAAUGUUAUCACGGGAGACACACGGCGGGUGCUAACGUCCGUCGUGAAGAGGGAAACAACCCAGACCGCCAGCUAAGGUCCCAAAGUCAUGGUUAAGUGGGAAACGAUGUGGGAAGGCCCAGACAGCCAGGAUGUUGGCUUAGAAGCAGCCAUCAUUUAAAGAAAGCGUAAUAGCUCACUGGUCGAGUCGGCCUGCGCGGAAGAUGUAACGGGGCUAAACCAUGCACCGAAGCUGCGGCAGCGACACUAUGUGUUGUUGGGUAGGGGAGCGUUCUGUAAGCCUGUGAAGGUGGCCUGUGAGGGUUGCUGGAGGUAUCAGAAGUGCGAAUGCUGACAUAAGUAACGAUAAAGCGGGUGAAAAGCCCGCUCGCCGGAAGACCAAGGGUUCCUGUCCAACGUUAAUCGGGGCAGGGUGAGUCGACCCCUAAGGCGAGGCCGAAAGGCGUAGUCGAUGGGAAACAGGUUAAUAUUCCUGUACUUGGUGUUACUGCGAAGGGGGGACGGAGAAGGCUAUGUUGGCCGGGCGACGGUUGUCCCGGUUUAAGCGUGUAGGCUGGUUUUCCAGGCAAAUCCGGAAAACCAAGGCUGAGGCGUGAUGACGAGGCACUACGGUGCUGAAGCGACAAAUGCCCUGCUUCCAGGAAAAGCCUCUAAGCAUCAGGUAACAUCAAAUCGUACCCCAAACCGACACAGGUGGUCAGGUAGAGAAUACCAAGGCGCUUGAGAGAACUCGGGUGAAGGAACUAGGCAAAAUGGUGCCGUAACUUCGGGAGAAGGCACGCUGAUAUGUAGGUGAAGCGACUUGCUCGUGGAGCUGAAAUCAGUCGAAGAUACCAGCUGGCUGCAACUGUUUAUUAAAAACACAGCACUGUGCAAACACGAAAGUGGACGUAUACGGUGUGACGCCUGCCCGGUGCCGGAAGGUUAAUUGAUGGGGUUAGCGGUAACGCGAAGCUCUUGAUCGAAGCCCCGGUAAACGGCGGCCGUAACUAUAACGGUCCUAAGGUAGCGAAAUUCCUUGUCGGGUAAGUUCCGACCUGCACGAAUGGCGUAAUGAUGGCCAGGCUGUCUCCACCCGAGACUCAGUGAAAUUGAACUCGCUGUGAAGAUGCAGUGUACCCGCGGCAAGACGGAAAGACCCCGUGAACCUUUACUAUAGCUUGACACUGAACAUUGAGCCUUGAUGUGUAGGAUAGGUGGGAGGCUUUGAAGUGUGGACGCCAGUCUGCAUGGAGCCGACCUUGAAAUACCACCCUUUAAUGUUUGAUGUUCUAACGUUGGCCCGUAAUCCGGGUUGCGGACAGUGUCUGGUGGGUAGUUUGACUGGGGCGGUCUCCUCCUAAAGAGUAACGGAGGAGCACGAAGGUUGGCUAAUCCUGGUCGGACAUCAGGAGGUUAGUGCAAUGGCAUAAGCCAGCUUGACUGCGAGCGUGACGGCGCGAGCAGGUGCGAAAGCAGGUCAUAGUGAUCCGGUGGUUCUGAAUGGAAGGGCCAUCGCUCAACGGAUAAAAGGUACUCCGGGGAUAACAGGCUGAUACCGCCCAAGAGUUCAUAUCGACGGCGGUGUUUGGCACCUCGAUGUCGGCUCAUCACAUCCUGGGGCUGAAGUAGGUCCCAAGGGUAUGGCUGUUCGCCAUUUAAAGUGGUACGCGAGCUGGGUUUAGAACGUCGUGAGACAGUUCGGUCCCUAUCUGCCGUGGGCGCUGGAGAACUGAGGGGGGCUGCUCCUAGUACGAGAGGACCGGAGUGGACGCAUCACUGGUGUUCGGGUUGUCAUGCCAAUGGCACUGCCCGGUAGCUAAAUGCGGAAGAGAUAAGUGCUGAAAGCAUCUAAGCACGAAACUUGCCCCGAGAUGAGUUCUCCCUGACUCCUUGAGAGUCCUGAAGGAACGUUGAAGACGACGACGUUGAUAGGCCGGGUGUGUAAGCGCAGCGAUGCGUUGAGCUAACCGGUACUAAUGAACCGUGAGG
rnacentral:rRNA from 1 species